rnacentral:rRNA from 1 species
UUCCGGUUGAUCCUGCCGGAGGCUACCGCUAUUGGAGUUCGAUUAAGCCAUGCGAGUCGAGGGUCCUCGGGACUCGGCGUACCGCUCAGUAACACGUGGGUAACCUGCCCUAUGCUGAGGAAUAACCUCGGGAAACUGAGAAUAAUGCCCCAUAGCCCACUACGCCUGGAACGGUGAGUGGGUCAAAGCCCCGGCGGCAUAGGAUGGGCCUGCGCCGUAUCAGGUUGUAGGGGGUGUAAAGUACCCUCUAGCCAUCAACGCGUACGGGUGUUGGGAGACAUUGCCCGGAGAUGGAUUCUGAGACACGAAUCCAGACCCUACGGGGUGCAGCAGGCGCGAAAACUUGGCAAUGCGAGAAAUCGUGACCAGGGAACUCCAAGUGGCUGGGGUAAGACCCAGUCUUUUCUUGACUCUUCAAAGGUCUUGGAAUAAGGGGUGGGUAAGGACGGUGCCAGCCGCCGCGGUAAUACCGGCGCCUCAAGUGGUAGUCGAUUUUAUUGGGCCUAAAACGUCCGUCGCCUGUUUGGUACAUUCGUGGGUAAAUCAACCAGCUCAACUGGUUGAAUUCUGCGAGCACGGCCAGACUUGGGACCGGGAGAGGUGUGGGGUACUCUCAGGGUAGGGGUAAAAUCCUGUCAUCCUGAGAGGACCACCUGUUGCGAAGGCGCCACACUAGAACGGAUCCGACGGUCAGGGACGAAACCUAGGGGCACGAACCGGAUUAGAUACCCGGGUAGUCCUAGGUGUAAACGCUGUGGACUUGAUGUUGGGGGCGCUCCGAGCGCUUUCAGUGUCGAAGCGAAGGUGAUAAGUCCACUGCCUGGGGAGUACGGUCGCAAGGCUGAAACUUAAAGGAAUUGGCGGGGGAGCACUGCAACCUGAGGAUUGUGCGGUUUAAUUGGAUUCAACGCCGGG